rnacentral:lncRNA from 1 species
GUGAUUGGCUACUUUAGUCAUGGGACAGGCUGGCCUUGGCUGUAAAGACAAGGAGAGCCACGACCAUGAACCUAGACUGAUCUGUGGACAGAUUAGGAGGAGCCUAAGGAGAGCCAAUCAUCAUCCAGCCUUCCCCAUUUUGAAUUAAACCAAUCAGGCUUCACCUCCUCUUAACCAAUCAGCAUCAACUACUCAGAUUGCAACAAGACCAGCUCAUCUACACCAUCCAUUCCUCUUAAGUUAUUUACAGCCAGACAAUCAACUUCAAUGUGCUUGGUUCUCUCAUGAAACACCGAGUUGGAGGCAAUGUGGAUAGCUGCUUGGUUAUCACAAUGCAUUGUCAUAGGCGUGGCUUGAUCAAUCUCCAAAUGCUUCAAGAUGCCUUUGAUCCACACCAGCUCAUUGGUAAGCUUCAGCAUAGCUCUAUACUCAGCUUCUGCACUUGAGCAAGAGACCACCUUCUGCUUCUUACUCUUCAAUCCCUUAAUCUCUCCCUUUCUUAGUCUCUAAUCUCCUAAUCUCUCAAAGUCUUUUGUUUCUGAUCUGAGUAAACACUUAAUCACUCAUAAACACUUCCACUAAUCUAUCUCUCUCUAAAUCACCUAAAUCAAACUCUCUCUCUCUCUCUGCCCUAUUAGGUUUCACACAAACACACAGCCUGAGAUCUCUGAAAAUCUCACAUGGUAUCAGAGCCAGGUUCAUCUGAAUCUGGUUCUUAGCUUCCGCAAAAGCUCACAAGCUCCUCUCAUGUCGUUUUGAAACCAAGACCAAGCUUAGAUGAUCCAGCCGGCUGUUCAACAUCUCAAGUGGAAGAUGGGUUCAUCCCUGGUGUCCAGAAGCUGUAUGUGGUCGUUUCUCACCCUCUCAUGACGCCCAUGAAGAAAGAAGGCUCUUGGAAACAAGGCAGGAAGUGGUCUGAUCAACCAAGCUUCAAAGCUUUAUACAAGCUGUUUCUUAUUCACUGUCCAAGAAGAAAGGUGAUAGCUUUCAUCUGGUACUGGUGUGGCGAGUGUAACAUGAAGAAAGGUGGGGUCUUUGACAUGGAGAGUUCAAGAGAAAGGUCCUUGGAAGAAGGAGAAGUUGGGGUCGACACCAACAGCUCACUGUCUUGCCAUGUUCUAUGGAGUUUCAAGGAACUAACACUAGUUCCUUGGCUGUAAGAAACCUCUUUCUCUUGUUUAAAGCUUGUGUAUGUGAACUGAAUGAUGUAUUAAACAGGUUGUGAUGUUGUGAUGUGAUUGAAAACCUGAGGAUGUGUUUAAAGAUUGCUAGAUAUGAAAUGUUUAGAAUCUGUCCCAGGAUGCUUAAAAAGAGUUGGUUGGUGACUGAGAAUUGUUGCUUGAAUCUGGUUCAUAAUGAAUGUCUGUUAGGGAGUUAGUAGUAUUGUCUAAACCUGACUGCUUUCAUGAAUUGAAACCGAGCUUAAAGUGGAGUGUAGAGUGUUGUUGCUGCCUUAGGUUGAUGCACUUUGAUUCAAGUCUAAGAUGCAGUUAAGGCAGAAGUUAAAAAUGCCUAAGUAGCUUGCAUAAAUCUGGAAAAGAAAGUGCUUGUGCUUAGAGAGUUUGCUUGCAAAGAUUAGAACUUGAAAGUGUCUUGUAUAAUCUGUUGCAAUGCUUGUGAUAUUGGUGAUCAACCUUGAUGAUGUGUCAAGGAUUGAUACCAAUACCUUUGUGUCUUAUCUAUGCUGGAGUUUGAGUGAUGUUUCAGGUUCACAAGAAGUGUUCUUUGCUCACCAUCCAUCCAAGUAGAAGAGGAAGACUUUGCCCAUUGUUGAAGCAAUGGAGAGUGGCUUGUGUGUAUGGCCGGUUGAGAAGCGCAGCUAGUGAUAGUGAUGCGCUCCUGGUUCAUGGAGACACACAAGGAAAGGUCAUCACCUAAGUCUUGAGGAGACCGGUGACCUGAAGGCAUUGGAGCUGAAGGAAAUGGGAGAUCGGUUGACUUAAGCGCAGCUGUAGGAAGUGAUGUGCUCCCGGUUUGGAGUCUCAUUGAGGCUCACUUCAAGCUUGAACCUAGGCUCAGUCAAGCUUGAGGUGGGGAUUCAAGUGAGCUACCAGAAGAUUCUCGAAGCUCAGUGACCUGUUUCCUCCUUACCAUUGCAAGCUUCCGAAGAAGGAGCCAACCAGGGUUUAGGCAGUAGCGUGUCUACUCAAGAGAUUGUUCAGAGCAGUCUUGGCUGUUCUCGAAGCUCAGUGACCUGUUUCCUCCUUACCAUUGCAAGCUUCCGAAGAAGGAGCCAACCCGGGUUUAGGCAGUAGCGUGUCUACUCAAGAGAUUGUUCAGAGCAGUCUUGGCUGCGUAUGAAGAAGGUUACUCUAUCAAUGCGGCCUCUAGUGUGAGGUGAUUGAAGAGGGAACUGAGGUAUCUACCAGCAGUCCAUCAAGGGUGGCAAGUUAUGAAGAGAGGUUGCAAUGGUUUGUUCAGUCCAGAUCAUGAAGCCUUCUUGCUGUCCAACCUUGAUCCUUGCAAGAGGUCUCAAGCUUGAGGGGGAGUGUUGAAGUGGCUUCACUGAUCAGAUGGAGUUUCAGAAGUGAGGGAUUCAAGUGGCUAGUGAAGAGCAGCCACUCCUCACCAUCUAAACAAGGGAGUAAACCUUAUCUAUUCUUUAUAUACAUUCAUGAUAUGUUUAUCUCUUGGGGACUGAUACACUUGUGGAAUGAUGUAUCAGGUACUUGUAUCUAUCAAGGAAGAUCUGGUGUGUCCAAACACUUCAACCUAACAAGAAGUUAGGUGAAAGGGGGAGAGACCAAGAUCUGUCUGAAGAAGAGUACAAGAAGUGUUGAUGAUGAGCAAGAAGAGUGGGUUCUAUCUUGCAUCACAUGAGGGCCAUGAUCCAGAGUCUUUGUGUCCCUUACAUUGUUGGUAAGGCACAAAGACUCACUGGCCAAUCCCUAGGCCUUGGAGACUUUACUCUUUUUCCCUCAUCAAGGUUUUGUCCCAAAGGGUUUUCCUUGGUGAGGUUUUUAAUGAGGAAGUUCUUCAAGGUUCCAAGCUUGACUUAGGAUCAACUAAAGUCAAGCUUGAGGGGGAGUGUUAACUUGAAGAGAAGAAAUGGAGAAACUAAAGGUGUUGAGUUGAGUUUUUGUCCCAAAGGGUUUUCCUUGGUGAGGUUUUUAAUGAGGAAGUUCCUCAAGGUUCCAAGCUUGACUUAGGAUCAACUAAAGUCAAGCUUGAGGGGGAGUGUUAACUUGAAGAGAAGAAAUGGAGAAACUAAAGGUGUUGAGUUGAGUUGGGGCUUAUGCAAAAGAUAGGGCAAGGUGUCCAGAAGUGUCAUGAUGGAUGUGCAAUGUUAGGGCCAAGUCUAGGAGAGACUUAGAAGUGUAUUUGGGAGCAAAUGGACGAGUGUGCAAAGAUAGGGAGAGGCAGUACGGACAUGUACGGACAGUACGGAUCUGUACAGACCAGGGCGACCCAGAUUUGCAUAACUCGGCCAUUUGAGAAGUUUUGGAAUUGGUGCAAAAAUAGGGUGAACCUGACGUCCCGGGAAAGCUUGUGCAAUGUCUGGGCAAGGUUUGAGAGUUAUAAAAGUGGUCUCAGUCUUGUGGAUAAGGUUCUGAUCAGAUGGCAUCAAAGGAGAAUCAAGAAGAUGCCAUUGGAGUGUGAUUGGCUAGUUUGGUCAUGGGACAGGCUGGCCUUGGCUGUAAAGACAAGGGGAGCCACGACCAUGAACCUGGACUGAUCUGUGGACAGAUUAGGAGGAGCCUAAGGAGAGCCAAUCACAGCCCAGCCUUCCCCAUUUUGAAUUAAACCAAUCAGGCUCCAUCUCCUCUUAACCAAUCAGCAUCAACUACUCAGAUUGCAACAAGACCAGCUCAUCUACACCAUCCAUUCCUCUUAAGUUAUUAUCAGCCAUUAGAUAUAGGUUUCUGAUUGUGUAAACCUGUGUAAGCUUAUAAAUAAGCAUGAUGGACGAAAUUGUAUCUCUCUAAGAGAGAGAGGGGGAUUUCCCCUCCUCCUUCAUCAAUGAAAGGGUUUUGAAAACCAGAAACACAAAUCUAUUCUCUAGUCUUAAUCUCUCAGUCUCUCAGUCUCUUAAUCUCUGUUUCUAAGUCUCUUAUACACUCAAAAACACUCUUAUCAAUCUCUGUUCUUAAAUCACCAUUAAAAGCUCUCAUCUUGCUCAAUUGGAGCUUAUACACAUUCACACACACAACCAGAGUAGUACUCUAUAAAAACUCACAGA